GAGAGAGAGAGAGAGAGAGAAUUAUUUAUUUAUAUUUCAAUAAAUUGUUUGCUUUUAUUGCAUGUUUAACAAAUUUCGCUUUUUGAUUUUUGCUCAGAAAAAGAAAAGCAAGCUAACCAAAAGAAGCCUCAGUUAUUAAGGCAACUCACAUCAUUGACCAACAUUUAUACUGUGUCUAUAACCAAAUAAAACCGAGACCAAUAAUGGUUCUAAACUGGGACUUAAAGAAAAAUCAUUGGCGGCAAACAAUAGCAAUGAAUCCUAAAAUGCACUAACCUGAUAAACAAUAUCAGGCCUAU
rnacentral:misc_RNA from 1 species